GGCUGGUCCGUGGUGUUUACAACUAAUUGAUCACAACCAGUUACAGAUUUCUUUGCUCCUUCUCCACUAGUACUGUUUCACUUGACUAGCCUUGA
ensembl:Y_RNA Y_RNA Y RNA